GUCUCCCUGAAAAAUUGCUUAUAGGGAGUCGAACCUGCCCAGUGACUGUAAUGUUAAACGGCCGCGGUACCCUAACCGUGCAAAGGUAGCAUAAUCAUUUGCCUUUUAAUUGGAGGCUCGUAUGAAUGGUUUGACGAGAGCCAUGCUGUCUCUUUUAAAAUAGCUAGAAAUUAACUUUUAGGUGAAGAGGCCUAAAUAGAGCUGAGGGACAAGAAGACCCUGUUGAGCUUUAGUAUAUUUAGAUUAAGUGAAUUUUAAUGUUGUAGUUUUCAUUUUAUGUAAUGUUUUAAUCUAAAGAUUCUUUAGUUGGGGCGACUGAGGAACAUAAAAAGCUUCCUUGAAUUUUUUAGUAUUGUGCAUUUAUGUUGGUAGAUUAAUUUGAUCCGGCUUUUGUCGAUUAAGAGAAAAAGUUACCACAGGGAUAACAGCGUAAUCUUUCUGGAGAGAUCAUAUCGAAAGAAGGGUUUGCGACCUCGAUGUUGGACUAAGAUAUCCUAAAGGUGUAGAAGCUUUUGAGGGUUGGUCUGUUCGACCAUUAAAAUCUU
rnacentral:rRNA from 1 species